rnacentral:lncRNA from 1 species
GAUAUCGAAGAAGACCUUUCCCAUACAAAAGUACUUUAGAAGAAAGUGGAUCCCAAACUGAAAGGACCUUAUGUGGGAGGUCUUAUCUGGAAAAGUAUUGAUAUUGACCAAGAUGGAUGGCAAAAACCUGCCUAAUAUUGAGAAUUUUGAUUCAAGCAAUAAAUACUUCAUUUGAAAAAAAGAAACGAAAAAGAAAAAAGAAAAGAAGAACGAAAAAAGAAAAAG